rnacentral:rRNA from 1 species
CCCUUAGAUGUUCUGGGCCGCACGCGCGCUACACUGUUCGACGCAGCGAGUCUUAACCUUGACCGAAAGGUUUGGGUAAUCUUCAGCAAAGUCGAACGUGAUGGGGAUCGAUCAUUGCAAUUAUUGAUCGUGAACGAGGAAUUCCUAGUAAGUGCAAGUCAUCAGCUUGCGCUGAUUACGUCCCUGCCCUUUGUACACACCGCCCGUCGCUACUACCGAUUGAAUGGUUUAGUGAGAUCUCUGGAUUGACGCUGGCUAGGGGGCGACCCUUGGCCAGGCUGUCGAGAAACUGCUCAAACUUGAUCCUUUAGAGGAAGUAAAAGUCGUAACA